AGCAGCCGCGGUAAUUCCAGCUCCAAUAGCGUAUAUUAAAGUUGUUGCAGUUAAAAAGCUCGUAGUUGAAUUUCGGGAUUGACGUGAUGGUCGUGCCUUAAGGGGUAUGAACUGUCGCUGUUGAUUUCUCACCUUCUGGAGAAACUUGAUGUCCUUAAUUGGGUGUCUUGCGGAUCCAGGACCUUUACCUUGAAAAAAUUUAGAGUGUUUAAAGCAGGCAUUUUUGCUCGAAUACAUUAGCAUGGAAUAAUAGAAUAGGACGGCAUGGUUCUAUUUUGUUGGUUUCUAGGAUCACCGUAAUGAUUAAUAGGGAUAGUUGGGGGCAUUAGUAUUCAAUUGUCAGAGGUGAAAUUCUUGGAUUAUUGAAGACUAACUACUGCGAAAGCAUUUGCCAAGGAUGUUUUCAUUAAUCAAGAACGAAAGUUAGGGGAUCGAAGACGAUCAGAUACCGUCGUAGUCUUAACCAUAAACUAUGCCGACUAGGAAUCAGACGAUGUUAAUUUUUUCAAUGACUCGUUUG
rnacentral:rRNA from 1 species